GGGACUCAGGAACUGAAAGUGAUUAUAUUCUCCAUCUUAUCUCUCUAAGAAGGAUCCAAAUCACUGAAAGUGAUUAUAUUCUCCAUCUUAUCUCUCUAAGAAGGAUCAAAACUAUGAUCCAAAUCAUAGGUUAAAGAGGACUCUGGAUGGAAUAUAUACAGGAUGAUGAAUCCAUAUCUAACCAAUACCUAUUCUGCAAGCCAAUGUGGCCAAAACUUCAAUACUUGUUGGAUGUUGAUGGCCCACAGUCUGCAAAUGAACUCAGGCCUUUCCAUCUUCCAAAUGAGUUCACAAAGAUAAGAAAGAUAUUUUGUCUGGUGUUCUAAAGGCUUAAUAGCGACUGACUUAUAUUGUAGUAAUUUGUACAGCAUCCUCUGUAAGUCUUGUUUACCAGACACUCACUUCUACCCCUAAGUAUUUCUUAGUGGGUGUUAAUUCUAAAUUGGUGCCUGAAGGAUGGGAGUACUCAAAUCUCUCUUGGUCUUCAAAGGAAUGGCUGUGGCCACAGAGAGACUAUACCUUUUCCUACACCAUAGGCAUGUGCCCUGCAAGUCUCACUCUUGUCACUUCUGGGAAACUGCAUGUGGUCUCUGUGACACAGGACUAUUUCCCACUUCUGUUCUUGCACUCUGAGCAACCCUGGGCAGGUCAGAAGUUCUUUCAGGUCAUUGUUUGUUCAGGAUUCCAAAAAAAAUUACUUAACACUUCUGGAGCUCCAGAAAAGAUGAUAUUUGACACUCUCUGAAUGAGAUAAGCAGAUAAGGCUGGAGGCUUGAAGAGGUUCAGCUGGCGAAGACUCAUAGGGCAGAGUAAGGAGAUUGGACAGAAAUGUAUAUUCUAUACCAAGACAGCUCUCAUGGAGCCCCAGUGGUGGAACAAGGAAGAGCCUGGAGAAAUUUCAGCUUCACUUUCAUUCUCCUGAGUGCUAUCAUCUUGCCUCUCCAUUCUGACCAUGCAGCCUUUCUUUGUAUAUCCCGAAAGUCAGAAAAUUUGAGGGGGAACAUUGGGCAGGCCUGGAGUGGGGCUCCUUGGACUCCAAGCCCAGCUCUCAUUGACUGGAUGUGUGACCUUGGACAUAUUACUUAAGCCUCAGUUUCCCUUAGUGCUAAGUGGGACUAUUAAAAUGCUUCUUAGAGAAAUGGUGGAAAGAUUAGAUCUAAGAACAUGAAGAACCCAGCACAGUGCCUGGCGCAUAUUUAGUAUUAAAACAAUUUGCAGCAUUACAUUGAUCAUUGUUGUCCAGAUGCUACACGUUCCCCGUGGCAGAUUUCUGUCUCUCUUUACUGGAGCCCCCCAGAAGAGCUGACAUGUUUGUGAACCCAGAAAUUGCACCAAUCCAAAAAGUCAGAGUAAAAAAAUCUUGGCAACUUAACGUGCUUGCUUCCAUCCCCUCUCCCGUCUCACAAGCAUGUACAGGUUAAGAAUGAGAGAAUUCCCCGUCUCUACUAAAAAAUACAAAAAACUAGCCGGGCGAGGUGUCGGGCGCCUGUAGUCCCAGCUACUCGGGAGGCUGAGGCAGGAGAAUGGCGUGAACCCGGGAGGCAGAGCUUGCAGUGAGCUGAGAUCCGGCCACUGCACUCCAGCCUGGGUGACAGAGUGAGACUCCGUCACAAAAAAAAAAAAAAAAAAAAAAAAAAAA
ensembl:lncRNA